UUUGUUUUGUUUUGUUUUUAAAAAUGGCAAUUCUGCCAACUAGUUUCUCCUUCGCUUACUCCUUCAAAUUUAAGGUUUACAGGUUAAGGUCGCAUCUGUAACACCCUAUCCAGAUUUUUGAGUGAAAAGGUGUUAAAGAGAAAUUGUGUCCCAGAAUAUGACAAUACAAAGAGCCAAGAUUAUUUGCCUUUCACAGUGUCCCUCCUGCACUCACUUCACUUCCCUUACCACAGAUGAUUUGUUUCAAGAGCCGUUGAGAUGCUGUGACCAAGCUGCAAUAUUCUGAAGCUAAUUAAUCUGCAGCACAUUUGUGAAAAGCAACUGCAUCUCAUUAUAGAUAUAUAUAUAUAUAUUGCUGUAGAGAAAGAGAAGCUUAAUCUUUCUAAUAUCUUGUGUUAUGGGGUUUAUUACACAGCUUCUGGCAUGCUAAUUUUUCAUGUUUUUGACUAUUUCUCUGAUGACUGAAAAACAUUCUUACUGAGAUGCUCAGGUGAGUUCAUUACUCUGUUUUAAGCUAUUUGGAUUAUGAAUGCCUGUGUAACCAAGACAAACAUGCCCGUGUGAGAUCUGGGUCAGAACAAGAGCACAUGGCACUGCCUUGUGCCCUGACACAGUGUCCCUGCAGGCUCACAGAGGGCUUACCAUCUACUCUGAAGUCCCACAGGUAAUAGCAACCGAGAGAGAGGUGGAACAUUGGUAAUGCAGAUUAUGUGACUGAGUUAAAUAUUAAGACAACAUCACAAGUUACUCUAAUAUAAGACAACCAGGCAUUUGUGACUGUUUUAACACCAGAGCAGGUGUUAAAAAUCUAGGAUUACAGAAUACUAAAAUGCAAUUGAGUUACAUACCAUUAAUCACGUUGAUAAUAAAUUCUCCUUCCCAUAUUCUCUUCUCCGUGUAUUACUGUUUUUCCAGUGGUAGGCAUUUAUAGCUACUGAAUAGAGUUCUAUUCAGAUGAAGUAAAUCUUUUUGUUUGUUUUGUUUUUUAAAGUGGGAGUCUACAGUUCAGUUCUGGAAUUUUUUUUUUUUUUUAGUGUUGACAUUUCAGUUAUACUAUGGAAGACACAAAAUACAAUUCUUCAAUCUAAACAAAGCCUCGAUAACUCAGAUUUUAUGUUUGCCUUAACCUUGUCUUAUUUUAAAGAGGUUUUAUGAGUUAGCUAUGCUACCUAUGGUACUCUUUAAAAUAUACAUAUAUUAAGAAUACCGUAAAAAAAUUUUGGUAGAGUUUGAGAAGCGACUGCUACACAUGCAUAUACUUACAGCUGUCUGCAUGCAUGACUAUCAGUGAACAAUAUUUGUGUUUCAUUUGUGGCCUGUUCUUUGCUGAUUAUUUCUCUCUCCAUUUACAUUAUUUCAGUUACCAAUUAAAGGCACGUUACAAUACCAUAUGAUAGAAAUUUUUGCAGAUCAUAAAUAUUCAUUAUGAGAAGUUGCAUACAGAACUUUCACCUAAAAACUACUCAACCAAUUUAGUAACUAAUUAUAAAUAAUUAAUACUUUCAUGGAAAUUAACACACAAAUCAUACACAGAAAAGGCCAGUUCUAACCAUAACAUAUUCGCAAGGAGUACAAUACACAUCUCCAAACCAUAUACUUUUUUGCCCCAAAUAUAAUUUCCCAAGAUAGCUGGGUUUUUUGUUUUCCCCCCUUAAGCUAUUUUUGUUUUGCUAUCAGUAAUUGCAGUAUUCACACUACAUAGCAGAAAAUAGCUAAUUUAGGGGAAUGAAUCACCAAACAAUUUUACAGCUUGUCAAUAUAAUAUCAAUACUGAUAAUUGCUAUUGUUUAUGUCAUUAACAACCCAUUCAGAUGGAGCUGCUUAACAAGGACACGUUAUCAGGUGUGAUAUGUGGCCAUGACACACUCAUUCUGGAUUCCAGAAGGGCUGCAGACUUCAAGGGACAUCUCUUCUUCCUGGCUUAUCAAGCUGAGCUGUUGAAACCUUGACACUUCCAAUUUACAGAGAUAUAUGCAAACCUUUUCUUUGGCAUAGAUUCAAGUCUCCUGAAUUUCACUGUGAGCUUUAGGUUUGAAUUAGUCUGAACUCCACAGUAAUACUCAGCCAAAAUUGUUAAUUUGUGCCAAAUUCACAGAGCUUUGAAUUGUUUCCAUCUCUUGUUAAAUCAGUGCUGUACAGCUGGCUUAAAAAUUGGCUCCAGUUUGGCAGUAAACUCUCAAAUUAAAUCCGAUUCAAUUCUGUACCCUCAGUAAACCAUGCAAACCCACAUUGGGAACAUGAAGAACUACUUGGGAGGAGCAACCCCAGGCUUGAUGAGAAGAGCACACAGUCCCAAGGACCAAACACCUCUUUCCAGCUUGCUCUCAAGUGUCUUGCUGGAUGCCACAUGGGCUCUAGGCCGUGACUGAUGUAUGAGGACUGUUCCAGAAGUAAUGCUUACUAUUACAUUACGUUGGCCCACAACAACAGAUGCGGAUGUUGGUGGUAUGGCAUUAGAGGUCAAACCUUCCCAUCAACUGUGAAGCGUAACCUUCUGCUACAUUUUGUUGCCAUAUGACAGAUUGCAACAGAGGGACAGCCUAACAAAAUGGCAUCUGACAUGGAUAUGAAUAUGGAACAAAAGCUGUGGAACUGAAUUCCUUCACACACACA